rnacentral:tRNA from 1 species
ACUUGGCUAGUUCAGUCAAUAGAGCAUGGGACUCUUAAUCUCAGGGUUGUUGGUUCAAGCCCCACGUUGGGUG